rnacentral:rRNA from 1 species
CCUACGGGAGGCAGCAGUGGGGAAUAUUGGACAAUGGGCGAAAGCCUGAUCCAGCCAUGCCGCGUGUGUGAAGAAGGCCUUCGGGUUGUAAAGCACUUUCAGUGGGGAAGAAAGCCUUGGGGCUAAUACCCUCGAGGAAGGACAUCACCCACAGAAGAAGCACCGGCUAACUCCGUGCCAGCGAGCCGCGGUAAUACGGAGGGUGCGAGCGUUAAUCGGAAUUACUGGGCGUAAAGCGCGCGUAGGCGGUCUGAUAAGCCGGUUGUGAAAGCCCCGGGCUCAACCUGGGAACGGCAUCCGGAACGGUCAGGCAAGAGGGCAGGAGAGGAAGGUAGAAUUCCCGGUGUAGCGGUGAAAUGGGGAGAGAUCGGGAGGAAUACCAGUGGCGAAGGCGGCCUUCUGGACUGACACUGACGCGGAGGUGCGAAAGCGUGGGUAGCAAACCGGAUUAGAUACCCGAGUAGUC